rnacentral:rRNA from 1 species
GGAAUUAUGGGGCGUAAAGGGUGCGUAGGCGGUUUGAUAAGUCUGAUGUGAAAUCUAUGGGCUCAACCCAUAGUCUGCAUUAGAAACUGUCGGGCUUGAGUAUGGGAGAGGUGAGUGGAAUUUCCGGUGUAGCGGUGAAAUGCGUAGAUAUCGGAAGGAACACCUGUGGCGAAGGCGGCUCACUGGCUCAUUACUGACGCUCAGGCGCGAUAGCGUGGGGAUCAAACAGG